GAUGAACGCUGGCGGCGUGCCUCAAACAUGCAAGUCGAGCGAGGCUAUGAGUUACCGCAAGGUAAGGCAUAGCCUAGCGGCGAACGGGUGAGUAACACGUGGGUAACCUACCUGGAAGACAGGGAUAACGAUUCGAAAGGGUCGCUAAUACCUGAUAAUAUCCAUCUGCCGGAUGGCGGAGGGAAGAAAGGGGAAACCCGCUUUCAGAUGGGCCCGCGUCCCAUCAGCUAGUUGGUAAGGUAAAGGCUUACCAAGGCGACGACGGGUAGCCGGUCUGAGAGGAUGUACGGCCACACUGGGACUGAGAUACGGCCCAGACUCCUACGGGAGGCAGCAGUUGGGAAUCUUAGGCAAUGGACGAAAGUCUGACCUAGCGACGCCGCGUGAGGGAAGAAGGCCUUCGGUUGUAAACUCUGUCAUGGGGAAGAAGGAAGUGACGGUACCCCAAGAGGAAGCCCUGCUAACUACGUG
rnacentral:rRNA from 1 species